UUGCUCCGCCACUCCGUGCAACCUCUUCUUGCUCGCUCCCUCCCACUGCCGCCGCGCCGCACACGUUUCUCUCUCUUUUAAGCUUUUUUUUUGCGUUCGCCGUCUCGCGCCCUUUCUCUCUCGUAUCGUUGCGUAUCCUCUACCUACACGGUAGAUGCACAUUCGCGGCCUCGCUGCGCACUUGAACCAGCAUAAGGGUACCCCACCGACAAGCGGUGAAGGACAAGAAGAACGAACGAAAGGUAGCGACACCGACCUCAUCCUUCGCGUUGGUGCACAAUCACCAGGGGGAACACGAGAAGCAUAUUCCAGAUUCAUCGACGCAGUCCGUCAGACGCGUAAACGUCCUCCCGCCCUCUAGCCAUGCUGCUCACGCGUAUUGUCGUGCUGAUCUUCGCGAUCGUGCUUGUGGCAUGCGGCGUGUGUGCGGCGCUGUUCCCGCUUAUGCGCAAGAAGGGGCUCAUGAUUGAAGGCCACGCCUCGGAGAAGAAGGUAUACUUGUGGUACGAAGAGAUCCACUACAAGGACGGGCUGGCCGACCACUACCAUCGUACCUACCACCGCAACAGCAAGUGCGAUGGCUUCAAAACCGCUGCGGUGACCGGCGCCGCUAUCCACGUGGCUGCGUGCGGCUUGGGUGGUAUCAUCUGCCUCCUGGCUGCGGCACACAUCUACGCACGCAAGAAGUUCAACAUCUGUUGCUCCAUCAUGAUUUUCUGCUUUGUUGCAUUCGCCUGCUUCGCUGUGUCAGUCGCGACAGUGGUCUUCGUCUUCUGCGCGGAUACCUGCGUGAAUGACAACGCGACGCGGGUGGUGGCCCUGCGCCACCAGGGCUACAUCUUCGUGGAGGGGUUCAUGUUGCUCUGUGUAUCGGCGUUCGGCUUCUUGAUUGCUAUGUUUCUGGAGGUCUGCAGCUAGAGCCACGCACGUAUUUAUGUGUGUGUGUGUGUGGAGGGAGGAUGCACGCCGUCUUUGCAUUCGCGCUCUCUUUUGGCUGACGCUUGCGUAGCCUUUUCGUCAUCGUCCGUGUCUGCGCCUCGCACACGGUGCACUCGCACGUAUGUGCUCCCCGCUUUUCUUCACUCGGCCCUGUAUCCGAUGUCGUUGAUUGCUUGGUUAAAGUACGCAUAUCUAUUUUAAGUGUAUCAAAAUAUGCAUGCAUAUAUGUACAUAUAUAUAUAUAUAUGUGUGUGUGUGUGUAAACAUGUACAUGUGUAAAUGUAAGCAUACACAUCUGUCCGUGUCGAGAACUAUCAUACCUGCAUGUGCAGGCACAUACACAUACAUAGCUGUUGCAUCUGUAUGUGUACACAUAUAUAGGCUUAUAUGUAUGCUUUUAUAUGUAUUUUGGUUUUGGUUUUCUCUGUUGGCUGACCUCCCCCUCCCCCUCCCUCUCUUAUCCUUCUUUGUGUGUGUGUGUGUGUGUGCUCUGUGCUUUUUGUUUGCUGCCACCUUCACGGCGAGUCCGUUGUCGCGUUUCGCUCUUUUCGCUUUACCUCAUGACGUGUCUCUCGCAUGAGAGAGAGAGAGGGAUACGCACGGGCUCGUCUUCUUCUGACGCUCUUCGUUUCGCUGCUCCCAACCCGGCCACCCCACUCCUCGCCCUCCUCUCUCGCCCUCAUCAUGAAAACGCUCUUCACAGGUCUAAUAAGUUCUGUGGACGGGGAAGGGCCGAUGUGUGAGGGCAAUGGGGCGGGUGGGUUGGUUGAUUGGAAGAAGUGCACCAUUUCGUUAAAGGAUACACCUGUGCGCGGUGUUGUCUCCCUGUGCGUGAAGCUCUGUAGCGUCAGCGGCGUGCGCAAGCCGAAGAAGAAGCGAAUCAAGUGGACACACACACACACACACACUCACAAGGAAAGCGGCUGAUCCGCGAUAAAAGAAAGGCGAGAGACUUCGUAGAUCGACUUGCUACUUAUUUGUUUGACCUCUGAUUUUCGGUGCUGCGCGUGCGCGUGCCUGUACGCGUGUGUGUGGUGUGCUCUUGUACUUUGUUCUCGUGCUUGCAUUUUCGGGGCUUCGUUUUUUUCUUCGGUUUUUCUUGCGCUCUUCUCUUCGCUAACUGUUUUGUGUCGUCGCCGGUUGCUCCUCUCGUCGUCUUCCGCUACAGACAUGUCAGUCACCCUGGUCUUGUACAUGGCUACCCCCCUUUUAAUGGCCAUGUCCAUGUGGGAGGCAACACACCAUAAUCCCUCGUACGCCCUUUGGGUUUCCCUCCUUCCUUUUUUUUUGUAUCGUUUGCUCGAUCCUUACUUCUCUCCCCUCCUUCCUUCCCUCUUGCGCGCCCGUGUGUGUUUAGGUGUGUGAAGUGCCGGUGGGCGUCGCGGCCCCCCAUUCUUCUCUCUCCCGAGGCUCGGCUUCUUUCAUUCUUUCCUUCCUUGCAUUUUUUGUAUUUUUUUUUCGCUAUCUUGCCUUCCUUCUCCGCUGCUGCCGCUGAUGCGUCUGCGCCAUGUCGUUCAGUGCUGAAUCUGCUUGGCAUACACGCAGACGCGUGCGGAGGAGGAGAGCACACACGCACCACCACCAAAGAAAACAGAGCAGCAGACUGCAGCACCUAUUCUGCAGCACAGACGAGAGCAGCCUGCCCAGGAACGGAACGGAGAAAAGGAAAUCUGAGAAGCUACUGCUCUCACUUGCACUCGUCUGGUUUCGCUCUGCUGUACUGUACACACUCACACGCACGCACGUCUGACGCUGUGCCUGUGCCCCUCUCUAUCUCUCUGUGUUUCUCAUUCGGCUUAUGUUUUUGUGAAUUGUUCGCGUCGUUGUUUGCCGUCCUUGGUUCUCAUUCUUAGGGGCGCCUGGACUUGUAUGUGCGCUCGUGCGUAUCUGUGGAGGUGGAGUAGGUGUGGUGGCCUCUUGUUGCGCCCGGACCGUCCGUCCGUCCGUCUGCGCGAUUUUCGUCCGUUGUUGUAGGACCUCUCCUCUUUCCCUACAUUGCUCCCCUUUCCCUCUUUCUCGCUUUAUUUCUCUUCACUUGCACAUAUCUAGACGCAUGGUCGCCGAUGAAGUGUGUGCGUACAUAUAUGUGUGUGUGCAUGUGCCGCCUCCUCCGUCUUUGUCUUGUCCCCUCCCUGCGUGUGCUUCUCCUUCUCCCUCCCGGAGGCCCCUCGUGCUCUCCUCCCCGUUUAUUUAUUCUUUCUCGACUCUCGACCUGACGAGGCUGCGCUCCGCAUGUGCGCUGGAUCCGCUGCGCAGUCCUGCACGCACGUAAAGGCAUGAGAAGACGCGAAGCACGAACGGCACACAGGCGCAAAGAAAACAACAAGAGACAAAAAAAGGAAAACGUGCAAACACGCGUUGGACGGCGGCCGAGACCCGUCGCGGAUGGGAAGGACGGGGGACACGCAGCGCCGGAGUACCGCCGGGCUUUCGUACGGUCGGCAUGGGCGUGUGGAGGAGGGCAUCGCAACGUCAUGGAUGCGCCCAGUGAAGUCGAGCGUGUCGGGCAUCAGAAGCGAACUUCAAGAAAAAGCAAGGCGCCUCGUGCUCGGAGGACGUGCGUGUGUGUGUGUGU
rnacentral:misc_RNA from 1 species